rnacentral:rRNA from 1 species
CCCUUAGGUGUCCUGGGCUGCACGCGUGCUACAAUGAUACGUGCAACGAGUUAAUCCUGCUCUGAAAGGAGUGGGUAAUCUUAUGAAUGCGUAUCGUGCUUGGGAUUGACCAUUGUAAUUAUUGGUCAUGAACGAGUAAUUCCUAGUAAGCACAAGUCAUCAGCUUGUGCUGAUUACGUCCCUGCCCUUUGUACACACCGCCCGUCGCUCCUACCGAUUGAGUGUUCCGGUGAAUUAUUCGGACUGCAACAGUUAUCUGUCGCGGAAAGUCUUGUGAACCUUAACACUUAGAGGAAGGAAAAGUCGUAACA